rnacentral:rRNA from 1 species
UACGUAGGGACCAAGCGUUGUUCGGAUUUACUGGGCGUAAAGGGCGCGUAGGCGGCGUGGUAAGUCACUUGUGAAAUCUCUGAGCUUAACUCAGAACGGUCAAGUGAUACUGCUGUGCUAGAGUGCGGAAGGGGCAAUCGGAAUUCUUGGUGUAGCGGUGAAAUGCGUAGAUAUCAAGAGGAACACCUGAGGUGAAGACGGGUUGCUGGGCCGACACGUGACGCUGAUGCGCGAAAGCCAGGGAGCAAACGGG